rnacentral:rRNA from 1 species
AUUGAACGCUGGCGGCAGGCCUAACACAUGCAAGUCGAACGAGUGGCGGACGGGUGCGUAAUGUCUGGGAAACUGACUGCUGGAGGGGGAUAACUACUGGAAACGGUAGCUAAUACCGCAUACCAUCAGAUGUGCCCAGAUGGGAUUAGCUUGUGGGGGGGGUAAAGGCUAACAAAGGAGACGAUCCCUAGCUGGUAUGAGAGGAUGACUAGCCACACUGGUACUGAGCGAAGUUCCAGACUACUACGGGAGGCAGCAGUGGGGAAUAUUGCACAAUGGGCGCAACGCUGAUGCAGCCAUGCCGAGUGGAUGAAGAAGGCCUUCGGGUGGUAAAGUACGUUCAGCGGGGAGGCGUUACCCGCAGAAGAAGCACCGGCUAACUCCGUGCCAGCCGCCGCGGUAAUUC